AGUGAACGCUGGCGGUAGGCCUAACACAUGCAAGUCGAACGGCAGCACAGUUAGAGCUUGCUCUUACGGGUGUCGAGUGGCGGACUGGUGAGUUCUCCAUCGGAAUCUACUUUUACGUGGGGGGUAAUGUAGUAUAACUUCCGCUAAUACCGCAUACGACCUACGGGUGAAAGCAGGCGAUCUUCGGACCUUGCGCGAUUGAAUGAGCCGAUGUCGGAUUAGCUAGUUGGCGGGGUAAAGGCACACCAAGGCGACGAUCCGUAGCUGGUCUGAGAGGAUGGUCAGAUACACUGGAACUGAGAAACGGCACAGACUCCGACGGGAGGAAACAGUGGAGAAUAUUAGAGAAUGGAGGCAAGGCUAAUCCAAGAAAACCGCGUGGAUGAAGAAGUAGCUAGGGUUGGAGAGCCAUUUAGUUGGGAAAGAAAAACAGCAGGUUAAGACCCCACUGUAAUGACGGUACCAAAAGAAUAAGCCCCGGCUAACUUCGUG
rnacentral:rRNA from 1 species